rnacentral:rRNA from 1 species
UACGUAGGUGGCAAGCGUUGUCCGGAUUAUUGGGCGUAAAGCGCUCGCAGGUGGUUCGUCGCGUCGUGCGUGAAAGACCCCGGCUCAACUGGGGAGGGUCGUGCGAUACGGGCGAACUGGAGGCCAGUAGGGGGAUGCGGAAUUCCGGGUGUAGUGGUGGAAUGCGUAGAGAUCCGGAGGAACACCAGCGGCGAAGGCGGCAUCCUGGACUGGUCCUGACACUCAGGAGCGAAAGCGUGGGGAGCGAUCCGG